GUGCCACCAUUUCUCAAAGUACUGGUCUUACAGAGUAGCUGCCAGGUUGUUUGGCACAGUUAUAUAACUACUGCUGAUAAAGUUCACCUUGCAGCCAGGAAAUAACAGCCUUCAAGGAUUCCCAAAUACAAGGCUGGACUCUGACAGUAAAUUUGUUCCUGUGUUCACCUGUAAUUUAAGGGUUACAACCACAGAUUGGUUGUCUUCUAUGCUGUAAAGAUCAGUGACUAGUGACUGACAUUGGGCCACUUAGCCUGAUGGAGUUUACUGCCGCAGGAUCCCAAAUUGUUGAAUACCUGUUCCAUGAAGUGUUGGAAGCUUGGUUGACUGCAGUUAUCAAAUCAGUUGUUGCUCCUUACUUUACCACAGCAGUGCUUUUCUGCCUGGUGAAAUCUGUGGUAGAAUAAUUGUUUCAUGAAGUGGCUGCAACUAAUCAACAUUCAAAGAAAUGCAAAUCUUUGCUUGGCUAUGUGACCAGGAUUCAAUGAUCAUUAGAAGAUGGAAUAUGUUCCCAUGACAA